UGGGGUAUAGUUCUGUGGUAGAACACUUGUCUACCAUGCUUGAUUCCCUGGGUUCAAUCUCCAGCACCCAAA
rnacentral:tRNA from 1 species